UUUCAGUUCUAUAAACAUAAGUAUGUGAGAAUGAGAUAAGCAUUACAUACUGGAUUCAGCUGAACUGCAGGAGAGUAGCUGAACACACACAGUUUCAUGCCAAAAAUUCAUAUAGGAUUUGCCUAAGGGCUUAUGAUUAAUAAAAGCUUCUCAAAAGUGUAAUGCUGAAAUGACUUCACUGAAAAACUGGUCAUAAUUCCUUUAAGCUAAGUCAAGCCAGGUAUCAUAUGCAUAUAAAAUCUGUAAUUUUCCAAUAAAAUCUGUUACCUUUCAAUAUUUUUUUGUGGUCUGAGCAGUCAAAUGUAAAGAACAGUAGGGAUAGAUGUGCCUUCUCAGGAACUGUUACUACUUCCAAUCUCAACUAAGUGCCCACAGGAUACUUAUUCCAGAUUUCUAUCUUUGUAGGACAACAGGAAUGGUACUGUUUGCAGACAGAACAGAGUGAAUGACCAAGGGCGACACAGAAAGGACACACCUUGGGGUAGCAUGCAUUCCUUCCUUGGACAGCUUCAGCGAACAGCAGACGUUGAGGUUCCUCUGCCCUGUGCCCCCUUCCACAACCUGCUAGUUUCUUUUUGAUGCCUGGGGAAGAAAAGGAACAGCACAAGCUUUUCCCUAUGAGUCUCCCACCCUCCAACUGUUCUCAGCUUGGUGGAUUUCCGUAUUCUGUUUUUAUUACCGCUUUGUUCUCUUCCCCUCAGCUUCCUAAAUUAAGUACACUGCUGAGAUCUUUCCUGGAAAAAAAAAAAAACAAACGUUUCUACGCUUUGUUCUGAUGAAAAAUUUACAUCAAUUUGAUGCAUUAAUACUUUUCCAAUCACAACACAGAAGAGCUGCCUUUCAGGAAACACAUUUAAGUUGCGUUUCUUUCAGCAUGGCUGGGAGCUGAGCACACACUGAAGUGUGUUGGCACCGACCUCUCCUACAAAGCCAGAUACAGACUUGAGCUCCUAAACGGGUAGGUUUGGAUCAGUGAGGAGGAUGGUGGAAAGUCCCAGAGGAGAAGGCUGGGCUCAUUCAUUAGCCUAGCAUGGGCAGUACCAAGUGCAGCAUUCAAAUGGUGCUUUCCUAGUCCUGAGUCCAGUAUCUGGAACCAUCCAGACUCAUAUUUGUUGUACUGAACAAAGAGCAUGGCAAAACAGCAUGGUAAGAAUAAAAAGUCCUGUCCAUAUGUGACGGCAUUAACCAGUGCUGGAAUUCAGAGCAAAACAAUCUCUUGGGAAUGAGUAGUAUCAUUUAAAAGGAAAGAGUGGGCAGAAGUUUCCUCACAUCCAGGAAGUGUAGUGGGCAAACAGGGCACUGUGAGGACAAAGUGCCAGCCAGACAUACAUGGUGUUUGUGCCUGCCAGUGUCCCAGCCUCCAGCUGCUUUCAGCUUGGGGACUUCCUGCACCGCGUGGUUUGUUUAGAUCCAACCUGCAAUGGAUCACUUCUCUUGAAAGUGUUUGAAGACACAUCUAAGUCAAGGCAGCAAAUUACAUUCCUGGUCUGGAUGCAACGCAUUCUGGCAACACUGUGUUCCUGCUUUAAACAGCUUCUCCUGCCCUCCAAACUGCUUUCAUGUGAAACACGGACGACACGAUUUAUGACAGACCUGACCAGCACAGCAAGACUGGCAAAAGCCGAAAGCACACGUGUAGCCUGAUGCACUUCUAUUGUAUGUACUUUCUGCCCAAAACAAAGCGACUUUAUCGUGUUUGCUUUCUAACACUGCGUUUGUGGUGCAUUUUCUUCUUCCACAACCGAGUAGGAAAACAGAUGUCUGGAAUCCUUACGAUUACAGCACGAGCUGCUGGGUUUUGAUCAGCAAACUCGUUCGCAAACUGAACGACUUCAGCCUGAAACGUACUCAUCUUGCUGCAGACACCCAGCGCCACGUCUGUUCGUGCUUCCAGGGACCUUCAAGGCCGAAGACGGAGGAAAUGCCUGAAUUUCCCCCGGCCCCUCCUCGCCUCUCGCCUGCCUUGGCAGCCAAUCCUCGCCUGGGGAGGGGGGGCGCUGGAGACAGCCCCAACCCAGCGUUUGUUUUAACAAACAUUUCUCACUGCCUAUGAGGAAACAUGCU
ensembl:lncRNA